AUGAAGUUGAUCUUCCCGUGCAGAAGCGGGGAUAUAACCAUAAGACGAGAAGACCCUAUGGAGCUUUAGACACGAAAGCAGCCCACGUUAAGCACCCCGAAUAAAGGGCUAAACCAAGUGGGCCCUGCCCUAAUGUCUUUGGUUGGGGCGACCGCGGGGAAUUAAAGAACCCCCACGUGGAAUGGGAACACUUUUCCUACAACUGAGAGCUACAGCUCUAGAAAACAGAAUUUCUGACCAACAAGAUCCGGCAAUGCCGAUCAACGGACCGAGUUACCCUAGGGAUAACAGCGCAAUCCUCUUUUAGAGUCCAUAUCGACAAGGGGG
rnacentral:rRNA from 1 species